rnacentral:rRNA from 1 species
GAUGAACGCUGGCGGCGUGCCUAAUACAUGCAAGUCGAGCGAACGGACGAGAAGCUUGCUUCUCUGAUGUUAGCGGCGGACGGGUGAGUAACACGUGGAUAACCUACCUAUAAGUCUGGGAUAACUUCGGGAAACCGGAGCUAAUACCGGAUAAUAUUUUGAACCGCAUGGUUCAAAAGUGAAAGACGGUCUUGCUGUCACUUAUAGAUGGAUCCGCGCUGCAUUAGCUAGUUGGUAAGGUAACGGCUUACCAAGGCAACGAUGCAUAGCCGACCUGAGAGGGUGAUCGGCCACACUGGAAGUGAGACACGGUCCAGACUACUACGGGAGGCAGCAGUAGGGAAUGUGCCGCAAUGGGCGAAAGCAUGACGGAGCAACGCCGCGUGAGUGAUGAAGGUCUUCGGAUCGUAAAACUCUGUUAUUAGGGAAAAACAUAUGUGUAAGUAACUGUGCACAUCUUGACGGUAACUAAUCAGAAAGCCACGGCUAACUACGUG